CCUACGGGUGGCAGCAGUGAGGAAUAUUGGUCAAUGGACGAGAGUCUGAACCAGCCAAGUAGCGUGAAGGAUGACUGCCCUAUGGGUUGUAAACUUCUUUUAUAAAGGAAUAAAACGCGGCACGUGUGCCUUUUUGCAUGUACUUUAUGAAUAAGGAUCGGCUAACUCCGUGUCAGCAGCCGCGGUAAUACGGAGUCUCCGAGCGUUAUCCGGGUUUAUUGGGUGUAAAGGGAGCGUAGAUGGGUGAUUAGGUCAGUUGUGAAAGUUUGUGGCUCAACCGUAAAAUUGCAAUUGAUACUGGCAGUCUUGAGUAUAGGUGAGGUAGGUGGAAUUCGUGGUGUAGCGGUAAAAUGCUUAGAUAUCAAGAAGAACCCCGAUUGCGAAGGCAGCUUACUAAACUGUGACUGACAUUGAUGCUCGAAAGUGUGGGUAUCAAACAGGAUUAGAUACCCUAGUAGUC
rnacentral:rRNA from 1 species